rnacentral:rRNA from 1 species
UACGUAGGGGGGCAAGCGUUUGUCCGGAUUUAUUGGCGUAAAGAGCGUGUAGGCGGCUAGGUAGGUCCGUUGUGAAAACUCGAGGCUCAACCUCGAGCUGUCGAUGGAAACCAUCUGGCUAGAGUCCGGAAGAGGAGAGUGGAAUUCCUGGUGUAGCGGUGAAAUGCGCAGAUAUCAGGAAGAACACCCCGUGGCGAAGGCGGCUCUCUGGUACGUGACUGACGCUGAGACGCGAAAGCGUGGGGAGCGAACAGG